AUGGAGGCCAGGAGUAGCUCAAAUACAGGCAUUGCUGGCAGUGACGGCUCUGGCAAUAAGAAGAUUCUUAAUCACAGAGAGACACUAGCAGUUUUUAGGGACACUCAACUCAUUGGGCGUGAGAAAGAAAAGUCAGAAAUCCUAAAACUAGUUUUAAAUGAAGAUAGCCAACAACUUGAAGUGAUAAGCUUGUGGGGAAUGGGUGGUAUUGGAAAAACCACACUAGUCAGAGAUGUCUACCAAGAGCUUAGUGGGAAGUUUGAGAAGCGUGCUUGUGUCACGAUUCUGCGACCUUUCAGUCUUGACAAGCUUAUCGAGGAGAUAGCUAUGCAGAUUGGAUGUGAAGUGAAAAAGAUGGUUAGAUAUUUAGAAGGAAAGAAAUACUUGAUUGUUCUCGAUGAUCUAUCAUCCAAUACAGAAUGGGAUACUAUAAUACCACAAUUUCCUGCAAUGGAAACAUCAAGUCGGAUCAUAGUCACCACAAGAAUAAAGGAUAUUGCUAAUCAUUGUUCAAACAAGCAUAAAAAUAUAUGCGAACUCCAAAGGCUAGGACACAGAAGCGCGCGUGAUCUCUUCAUGAAAAAGGUAUUUGGCAGGACUACAAAUUUGGAUGAGCAGUAUCCUACUUUGAUUGAACAAGCAAAUCUGAUCCUCAAGAAAUGCAACGGACUUCCUCUUGCAAUAGUGACAAUAGGUGGUUUCUUGGCAAACCAACCAAAAAUCGCUUUCCAAUGGAGGAAACUGAAUGAGCAUAUCAGUGCUGAGUUGACAAUGAAUCCAGAGCUUGGGACCAUAAAAACCGUCCUUAUGAGAAGCUAUGAUGGUUUACCCUAUCACCUCAAGUCUUGUUUCCUAUAUAUGCCUAUAUUUCCUGAAGACUACAGGGUUGGGCGGGGACGCUUGGUGCGUCGGUGGACUGCGGAGGGUUACUCAAGGGAGGUGCGCGGCAAGUCUGCAGUGCAAAUAGCGGAUAGCUACUUCAUGGAACUGAUGAGCAGGAGCAUGAUCCUACCGUCUGAAAAGUCAAUUCAUAGUACAAAAGAGAUUGAUUCCUGUCAAGUCCAUGAUCUCAUCCGUGAAAUUGGCAUCUCAAAGUCAAUGGAAGAAAAUCUUGUUUUUACACUUGAAGAAGGUUGCAUCUCAAACAGCCAGGCCACGGUGCGCCACCUGGCUAUAAAUGGCAACUGGAAGGGGGAUAAGAGUGAGUUUGAGAGCAUAGUGGACAUGUUCCGUCUGCGGUCAUUAACAGUUUUCGGUCAGUGGAAAUCAUUUUUCAUU
rnacentral:rRNA from 1 species